rnacentral:misc_RNA from 1 species
GGAAAUUAGGUGCGCUUGGCGUUUUAGUCCCUGAAAAGGGACUAAAAUAAAGAGUUUGCGGGACUCUGCGGGGUUACAAUCCCCUAAAACCGC